rnacentral:rRNA from 1 species
AAUUAACGCUGGCGGCAUGCUUAACACAUGCAAGUCGAACGAGAAAGCCCGGUUCGCCGGGCGAGUAAAGUGGCGCACGGGUGAGUAACGCGUGGGUAAUCUACCCCGGUCUGGGGGAUAACGCACCGAAAGGUACGCUAAUACCGCAUGACCCGACGGGUCCCUGGACCCGUCGGCAAAGGUGGCCUCUGCGUGCGAGCUACCGAACCGGGAUGAACCCGCGUCCUAUUAGCUUGUUGGUGGGGUAAUGGCCCACCAAGGCGACAAUGGGUAGCUGGUCUGACAGGACGGCCAACCACACUGGAACUGGCACACGGCCCAUACUCCUACGUGAGGCAGCUUUGAGGAAUAUUGCGCUAUGGGGGAGACCCUGACGCUCGGAUGCCGCGUGGGUGAAGAACGCCUUCUGGUCGAAAAGCCCUGCCAGGCGGGAAGAAUAACCCCGGGGGCUAAUAUCUCCUGGGGUGUGUCGGUACCGCUUGAGGUAACACCGGGUUAACUCCGUGUCAUCCAUCCGCUGUAAGACGGAAGGCGCGCACCGUUUUUUCGCAUUAUUUGUGGCGCUAACAGGCGUGCCAAGCGGCCCGGGCAAGUUUAGAAGGGUAAAGACUCGGGGGCUGUAUCCUCACAAGGGGCGCGCGAAAACUGGUCGGUUUUGAAUUCGAUGCACACGAUACCUGACACCUCCCGGCGGUAAAUGGUGGAAUUUCCAAAAAAUCCCGGAGGGAACACCGGCGGGGAAUAGGGUUGUUUUCCCGGACCCAAACUUUUACCCCCCUAUAAUCACAAUACAUUUGGUAUCCACAAAGGGGUUAAACCUUCUUCGGUAAACCCACCCCGCCUCCAUUUCGGACAUCUUGCGUGAGGGAGGAUUUUAUCAUCCACCCGGGGGGCCAACCUACCAGCUUAUAAUAUACCCAACCCAUGUAUAACAUCUGGUCUAAACGAUUAUCAUCUCCA